rnacentral:lncRNA from 1 species
GCUCACUUUCCUGCACUUAUACCCAUAUCACUGCUGGACUUGGCUAGGAAGGUGCAAAGUGCUACAGGCCAGCACAUAUAGCCUUUACUUACAGCAUGCUAACAAUCAUUAAAUUUUCACAGAUCACUAAAUGAAGAAAAACCACAGCUGCUAUCGGAACUGACAGCCCCCCGCCCNGAUGCUUGAGAAAACCUGAUGUGGGGAACAAGGCAGUCUCUGGAGUUGAAAGCAGAUUAACUUCUAUAUGCCUGAGAUACAUCCACGUACCUUUGGCAAGAGAGAAUGAAAUUGCUUUCUGAACAAGCACUGGAAAUUGAGUACCAAUCGCCAAAAGUACCGACGACAGCAUGAACAUUUCCUUAAUGGGAGCAGAGAUAUGACCCCAGUCCCAUCCGUCUCUCUGUUGUCUGUUAUUAUUUCUAAGUGCAAAAUAUUAAUGCUGUGUAGAAAUAAAAUUGAACCCUG